rnacentral:hammerhead_ribozyme from 1 species
GGCCGGCUGACGAGUCCCAAACAGGACGAAACAGCUGUCCAGUGC